GGGGGGGGGGGGGGAGGUCUUUCUGUGAUCCAAUAAUAAAUAUAUAUAUAUAUAAACAAUAAAUCCAACAUAUUCAACAUAUAGUGCUGUGUGUCGUUACAGCAUCACCUCUGUAGAUUCAGGAUAGAUUUCCACAUCUAUGUCCCCAAUGGUGCCCUAUCUAGUGCACUACUUUAGACCACAUCUAUGUCCCCCAAUGGUGCCCUAUCUAGUGCACUACUUUAGACCACAUUUAUGUCCCCCAAUGGUGCCCUAUCUAGUGCACUACUUUAGACCACAUCUAUGUCCCCCAAUGGUGCCCUAUCUAGUGCACUACUUUAGACCACAUCUAUGUCCCCCAAUGGUGCCCUAUCUAGUGCACUACUUUAGACCACAUCUAUGUCCCCCAAUGGUGCCCUAUCUAGUGCACUACUUUAGACCAGAUCCAUUUCCCCAAUGGUGCCCUAUCUAGUGCACUACUUUAGACCAGGGCCCUAUGGGACCCUAUUCCCUACAUAGUGCACUACUUUAGACCAGGGCCCUAUGGGACCCUAUUCCCUACAUAGUGCACUACUUUAGGGAACGGAGUGCCAUUUGGGAUGUUGGCAUAGUUCUGCUCCAGAUACAAAACGGAGUCAUAACCAAUACAAGUCAAAUAAGAGUAAUUGCUUUUGUUUUGGAUGAAUGCACAGCCUUAAAACCCUUUCACUUCUUCCGUCUUGGGUUCACAUCCAUAUACCAUUAAACGCUUCCUCGAUUCUCACACGUAGAAGCUAAAACAUUUGAGACAAGGAAAUGUAAAUAAAACUGUGCAAUAAUACAGGCUGUCUAUAGCUGUAACUAAAUACAGGCUGUCUAUAGCUGUAACUAAAUACAGGCUGUCUAUAGCUGUAACUAAAUACAGGCUGUCUAUAGCUGUAACUAAAUACAGGCUGUCUAUAGCUGUAACUAAAUACAGGCUGUCUAUAGCUGUAACUAAAUACAGGCUGUCUAUAGCUGUAACUAAAUACAGGCUGUCUAUAGCUGUAACUAAAUACAGGCUGUCUAUAGCUGUAACUAAAUACAGGCUGUCUAUAGCUGUAACUAAAUACAGGCGGUCUAUAGCUGUAACUAAAUACAGGCUGUCUAUAGCUGUACCUAAAUACAGGCUGUCUAUAGCUGUACCUAAAUACAGGCGGUCUAUAGCUGUAACUAAAUAACAUAUUUGACAUGAUUAACAUUAACGAAUCCGAGUGUUGCGAUAGUGAACCACUCAUGAUAAAAAUCAGGCCAGUCAGGUGGAUUACGACUGUAAAUAAUAUGAACUAUUACUCUGAAGGUCGUCCCCCCCCCCCAGCGUUAGUAAUGAUAUGUAUCUCAGACAGUUCUGUUGCUGUACGUCUCCUCUAGAGGACGGAGGACGGGGGGGGGCUGAAACAGACAGACCGGUGAGACACCGCUUCACUCUCCGUCACAGAGGCCUUAUACAGUGGAGCGUUCUGGCAUGAUGGACGGAGUACCUGCUGCCUAGCGCUGGAACCUUCCAGCAGACAGACAGACUCGCUCUGGGGCAUAUUCACUAGGGCAACAAACGGAAGCAAACAGGACGAAUAAAAAAAGUGGGGAGCUGGUAGGUAUUACACACGAACACCCUUGUUUUCUGUUGCACAACGUUUGAUAUAAUUUCCCCCCAUAAUGAAUAUCACCCGGGUCUGUCACCUCAAAACAAAAAACGGACAGUCGGACUAGUUCUGGUGUGGCGCCGCCAACACAUCAGCUCUGGUUGCUGUUCUUCGAGGUCUUGGUGGAGGAGUUCUGUUCGUCUCCCGUCAGUAGAGCCUUUAUCUCAGACGGGAUCUUCCCCUGGUCCAUGGCUGUACACCACUGCUUGUACUGAAGGAGAAAACCAAAUAGAGAGUUAGAUGACAGAGUUGGCUGUGGUCUGGAAACAUCUAUUUAGCGACACAGAGGCUU
rnacentral:lncRNA from 1 species